AGUGUUAUCAAGAGAAAAACAGUCUUAGAUGCAACAUAAAAAUUUCAGAGACAGAAGAAAUCUUCCUUUGAGGGCAGGAUUGAAAUGCUGUUUUUCUUCCCUGGUACAAUGUUAAAGCUUUAAACUCUUGUCAAUGAUGUGAUGUUUCAUCUGCAAUGAUCUACACUAGAAAAAUAAAAAUGUAGUUACUGACAAAAAAGCAGGAACUACUGCUCUAAGGAAAAAAGGACAGCUACAUGAGGACCACACAACUCCUGGAAGAGGUUUCCCUGGCAACACAACUUUUCCAUUCAUCUGGUUGCAGUGUUUUCAUCCAGUAGCCUGUCACCUCACUCAAAAGCAGGGCAAUGGAGAGAAAGAAACUUACCAAGUUUUUUCUUUUAACUAGAGAGUAGCCUACUUAUUGGGCCCUGCAAUUAAUUUCAGUACUCCAGGCAGAUUUAUAAAGGAAGCUGCUGGAAGGAAUUCAUUCCCUUUUUGCUGUUCUGCCUUCCACCUUCCACUGUGUGAGGACACUGCAAGAAAGCCCUCAUCAGACACCAACUGCCAGCACCUAGAUCUUGGAAUUCUCAGCCUCCAGAACUGUGAGAAACACGUUUCUGUUUUUCUAUAAAAUAAUAAUAAUAAAAAACUUCCAUGCAGGAAAAAAAAUCAAGUUCAAAGGUCCUGUGGUGAGGGCAUACCAGCUUUGUUUGAGAAGCAGUAAUCAUGCCUGUGUGACUGUAAUGAAAGAAUAAAAGAGAAAUGAGCACAGAAGAA
rnacentral:lncRNA from 1 species